rnacentral:rRNA from 1 species
UGGAUGCGAUUGGAACCUAGAGGAAUCCAAUAUGUAAACAUCUUGGGACAUCGAACCCUGCAAGCGUUGUGUCUCCACUCUGUAAAAAGAGGGAAGCUUGUAGGAAUAGUGUGAAUAACACUCAUGAAGGCAAUAGAUGUUGAAGAUGAGGAUCAUAUUGGAGAGGUCAGCAUGAGUUGGAUAAGAAAGAUUCAGUCAUGCAGAAGGUAGGUUCCACCUGGACUGUAUUAUAAAUACAUUCCUCUACAUAGUACUUUCUAAUCCGACUGAUAAGAGGCGUAUAUGUAAUAAUGGAAUAUACGGGCCGCACUCAUAUGGCGUACCCACGCUGUAUGAGUACUCGAAUUCUGUGAUGCUACAGAAGUCUCGC